rnacentral:rRNA from 1 species
GACGAACGCUGGCGGCGUGCUUAACACAUGCAAGUCGAACGGAGAGGCCCUGCGUUGGGGGUGAGUUGGGGAGGGGAGCGUGAGAGGUGGACAAGCGGAUCCCGCCCCUGGGAUAACGCCAAGAUCUUGGAGCUGGUGCUAGAAGUUCAUCGCAUCUCGUGCGGCAGGUGGUGCAAAGGGUAGACUCGUCGGUUGGGGCUGGACUCGCGGCAUAUUAGCUUGUUGGUGGGGUAGUGGCAUACCAAGGCCGCGACGGGUAGCCGGCCUGAGAGGGUGACCGGCCACAUUGGGACUGAGACACGGCCCAGACUCCUACGGGAGGCAGCAGUGGGGAAUAUUGCGCAAUGGGCGGAAGCCUGACGCAGCGACGCCGCGUGCGGGAUGACGGCCUUCGGGUUGUAAACCUCUUUCAGCAGGGACGAAGCGCAAGUGACGGUACCUGCUAAAGAAGCACCGGCUAACUACGUG